CCUCCUCCCAGGCUGCUUCCUGCCUGCCAUGCCAUAAGUUGUUUCUCCUCACUGUGCCUCUCUACCAUGCCUCCUUGCCUUGGAACCAGCUGACCACGGACUGAAACCUCUACCAACUGUCUGUGGUUCCGUACUGUGACUUGGGCAAGUGGAAGAGCCACCUGGAGCUUGCGUCCCACUGACUUAUUAACAACGGGAAUCCUGCGUUUAGUCUGGCCCUCUACACCUACCCGUUUCUGGAGCUGAAACUCACUAAAUGGUGAGGCAGGAGGAAGAAGGAGAAAGUCCCAGGUCGAGGAAGCGGCAUGGUAAAUGGUAGCGAUAAUUCAGCACCG